rnacentral:hammerhead_ribozyme from 1 species
AUCCAGCUGACGAGUCCCUAAUAGGACGAAAUACGCAUCCUGGUGGAU